UUCCUGCUGGUGGGCGGAGACUUGCUGCUGAAACCAGUCAGAUCCAUCCUGUUGUACUGGGACUGUCUGAUUGGUUACAACGUGUUCGUCAUCACCAUGAAGAAUAUUCUGUCGAUCCUGGCCUGUGGUUUCAUUAAGUCGUUGGUCUUGAAUCACUGUUGGUUGAUUCAGCUCUUCUCAUUGGCCUGCACCAUCAAAGGAUACACUAAACCGGAGCAGCAGAGCAGUAAACAGUGUGAGUUGCCGAGCGACGAG